UUUACGUGGCACCAAAAUGUGAUUAUUUUUAUCCAAACACCAUAUAAAGCUACAAACUCAUAUAUUAUCAAAUGAUUUACAAAAAAUAACAUUUACAGAUGGAUAGAAUAAAUUAGUAUCAAAUUUUUUCAAUUUGUUUAAAGAGUUUCACUGAAUUUUAAAUACGUUUUUAAAUUAAGAAUCAAGACUUCAAAUAACUCAAAUUACGUAUGAAAGUUACAAAUAUAGGUUUUCUUAUGUAAUAUUCGAAUUCGAAUUCAGAUGAUGAAAUGACACUAACAUAAAC
rnacentral:lncRNA from 1 species